GAUGAACGCUGGCGGCGUGCUUAACACAUGCAAGUCGAACGAUGAUCCGGUGCUUGCACCGGUGAUUAGUGGCGAACGGGUGAGUAACACGUGAGUAACCUGCCCUUAACUCUGGGAUAAGCCUGGGAAACUGGGUCUAAUACCGGAUAUGACCCCUCGCCGCAGUGGGUGGGGGUGAAAGUCUUUUGUGGUUUUGGAUGGACUCGCGGCCUAUCAGC
rnacentral:rRNA from 1 species